rnacentral:lncRNA from 1 species
CCAGCAAUGAAAAAGCUGACCAAUGCAGUUGUCAACUCAUUGCUUUAAGCCUUAGAUCAGCGCAGGUUCCUGGAUACCCAUUUAUCAUCACUCUCUUUGGGCCAAAUCUAAAUAUUUUAUAGUGGGCAUUUUUAGGUAGAUUACUUUGACCAGUGAUUAUCCACCUUUAGUCGCGUACUACUUUGUGAAAUUGGAGAGAGUGCAUUUUUAAAGCGCAGUUUUGAGGCUGUGUAUUUUUGACUGAGGUGAAGUCUCACUGUGCACUCACUGAGGUGGCGCAGUGGAUAGGUGGUGCAUGCACUGACAACCUUUCCAGUGACUGUUCCCAUUCGCCUUCUUCUAAGGACAGAUCCAAGCCUCUUUGAAGUGCUUUUCAAAAAUCUCAAGAACCAGUUUUGCAAGACAGUCCCUCUUGGAGACCCAGGCAGGUACAUACUGAAGCUGGAUAAGCCAGAAGAUCUUUAGCACUCUAGUGGAGUAUCUAGGAACAUUCUUUAAUAUAUAUGCUUGUGUGUAUAUGUAUAUGAUAUAUUAUGUAUAAUAUAUAUUAUA